rnacentral:rRNA from 1 species
UACGGAGGGGGGCUAGCGUUGUUCGGAAUUACUGGGCGUAAAGCGCACGUAGGCGGCUUUGUAAGUUAGAGGUGAAAGCCCGGGGCUCAACUCCGGAAUUGCCUUUAAGACUGCAUCGCUAGAAUUGUGGAGAGGUAAGUGGAAUUCCGAGUGUAGAGGUGAAAUUCGUAGAUAUUCGGAAGAACACCAGUGGCGAAGGCGGCUCGCUGGACCUGACCUGACGCUGAGGCGCGAAGGCGUGGGGAGCGAACGGG